AACCCGUCUAACUGAAGGUGACAGAGCAGCGCAGUGUCCAUGUACGUCAGGUGUGUGUGUGUGUGUGUACUCACAGCCUCUGCGUUGGCUCAGCCUGCCUUUCAUCCACGGCACCCAGGUCUUCUCCAGAGGAUUCUGGGAGGACGAACUAAAGAGGAGCCCUCCAGGUGAGCGAACAGAUUUUCAACUUUCUCCCACAAUGUUAGAGGGGGAGGAGUUUGAGCCACUCGGCACACCUGCUUGACUCCUUGCAGAGGAUGGAGUGCCUCUGAUUGGUCGGAAGACCUGUCAGUCACGUGAACUGGCUCAAGGAAGCCCAGAAUGAGGUCAUCCACCAAUCACCAAGUGCAACUCUAAACUUUGUCCCGGCAUACAGGAAGUGGUGCAGCGUGACAAACCAGUCAGAAACAUGCUGGGCGGCUCUUUUAGGAUUUUAUCAGAUGACUAAUAACCCACACAAACCCGCCCAGCCCUCUUCUACUCCACUACACCGGGAGGAAUGCAAUAUCAACAUGUAAGCAGCAUUAAAACGAGCAACUGUACAUAAAGACUGUUUUUACUUUAAA